GGGGUUGUGGCUCAGAGGCAGAGCACUUGCCUAGCAUGUGUGAGGAACUGGGUUCAAUUCCCAGCACCA
rnacentral:tRNA from 1 species